GAGACACCAAAUCCACACAUUCCGGAGUUUAUCAUCUGAAGAUCACCAAGAAAGGCGCAACAGUAUACAAGAGAUUCAAGGUCAAUAUCAACGGAGGUGGUGAACAAGCACCUCCCAAGAAAAUCGGACAGAAAUCUCUUCAAAUUCGUGAUAUUGUAAAAACUUUUUUUUGCUUCAUGUUUGCAGGACUGAUUGGACUCAUAAUCAUUACAUGCUGUUUCUGGUAUUCAAGAC